rnacentral:sRNA from 1 species
CCCUAGCCCCGAUAGAAGUGGAAAUCCUUUUGCUUUUUUCUUUAAAAAGCAAAAGAUUACUUCCUCAGUUCGCUAUCACUC